UUAAGGUGAUUCCAACUAAAUUCAGCUCACCUUGAGUUAAAUUGUUUGAAUCAAACUUAUAUUUGAUCAUCAAGAAAAUCACCAACAAACACAUUGGAGAUGUCCAUAGAGAUCCCACUUCCUUUGGGUAUCAACUUAUGACAAACACCCAAAAGACGUGUGCAGCUGCUCAAGAUUUAAAAAAGCUUACAGCAUUGUAAUAAACAUAUGUUGCAAGAGAUGAGGUUCAUCCGGAUUACAGAAGAGCUACAUAAUAAUGGGCUUUGUACUCAUAGCCUCGACACUUGUCUUGGAUUCCACAGGGUGACUUUACACCUUCCACUCGUAUUCAUUAUGAAUCAGCGGUGUUUACUCUCAUGCAUAAAAUCCAAGCCAACACUGCACAUCUUUACCUGCUGUCUAAAACAGUGGUGCAGGGCAGAAGCUUGUGGUUUCUCAUCUGUAAUGGAGUCCAUCGUAAUUCUUAAGACACUUAAUUGCUUGUUUCUUUAUGCAAGCAAAAUCCCUGCACACAAUGUACAACUUUUGUUCAGUAUCAGUCUCAAUUAUAAAUCCACAUGAGAGAGACAAUGAAAAUUGACAAAACAUAUCCAACAACAGUAUAGAUGCAAUGUGGUGUAAUGAAAUCUCUGGAGCAUUGCAGUAACAGGGAAAGGUUCAGACAGGACCAUGGACAAAUCAUUCUGGGAUUAUUUAAUUGCCAUUUCUUGUGAACAUGAAUUAUUGACAGGAAAGUCAAGCUCCUGGUUUUUGCUUUUGCCACCUUCAGCAGCGGUCUUAGAUUGACCAUCAGGCCGACUACUGUCCACACUCCACAGGAUCGAGAUUCAAGUUUAUGAUCUCCUUAGCUUCUGCCCAGCAGGUCUCAGAGGGGAAAUUCAGGUUGAAUCCAUGUUCAUCUGAGCUCUGAGGAGAAUGAUCCACCUGUAGGAAUAUGAGGGAAUGUCAGUUUCUGCUGUUAUUAAUAGUUUCAGAGGUUGUUGUACAUAAAUAACAACCUGGAUGAGGCCCCCAAGGCAUUGCCCAGAUUUAUAGCGGGAGCCUGUAGGUAAUGACAUUCUCCAGUAGUAUAUGUAAACCAAUCAGAUUCUUCAGGUGCUUUAAAAACCAACUGCAAUGUCAAGUUCCUUCCACACAGGGAAGCCAUUCCCUAGAAUCAUGUGCAUUUUAAGAACCAUUAGCAACAACUUUAUCUAAAAGACCAAAGGAAAGAUCCUAAACAAAUUUCAAUAAAACCAUACUCACAAACACAGGUGCAGGAUAUUCUUUUGGCUAUAAAUAAUUUUUUUUAAAAAAAUUAGUGCAUUUUGAUAUUAAUUAAAGGAUAAAAUCUGGAAAAGAAUUAGGCAAUCCAGUGUUUCUUAAAAAAAGAAGCUUGGAGUGAAUGAAUAUUGUAAGUGACAAUUGGAGUAACAUAGGUUUCACAAGAAGUAGUGAAUAACUCAGGAUAACUCAAAUUCAGACAUUUUUUUUUCACUUGAACCCAAGUGACAGAUGGGAUCUAACAAGAUGUAGCAAAAGAGUCAGGAUAGCCCAACUAAAAAAUUUAGAUAAAUUGUCGUCCAAAGGAAAGACAAAGGUGACUGAAGAAUAAACAAAAUACACACGACAAUGAUGGAUUGCCUUAUCUUAAAAAAAAAAGAGAAAGAGAAGUGGAUAAUGAGAGAGAAAAGAAGGCUCAGGGGAACAAUGGAAUAUUUGAGGCAUCAAAGUGUGAUGUAGGACAACCCAAGGAUUGUUGCCUACAUUCAAAAGCAAGUGGGUUAGGGUUUUUAUUUUAAGAUGUAAGGAGAGGAACAAGGAAUAAAGUUUAUGGUAAAGAAAAAAUAAAAUACAAAAAAGUAGAGAGAAAGUAAACAACAAAGAAAAUAUGGAAACAUUAAAGUUUCACUAAGGCCUUUUAGGAGUUUCACCUAGAAGAAAAUCAAUGGAGUCUCACCAUUGAAGAUUGCAACACUUGCAAUGAAAAAAACAUAAUAUUAUUAAUUUCAAUCAACUCAUUCCUUUGGUUUAGAUUGAUUAGCCUUAUUUAUAGGCUUCUCUAAAAAAUCCAAAGUUUAACAAGAUUCUAAUAACCUAUUAUGACUCUAAUUUUAAUUAUCUUAUAUCCUAAUUAGCUAAUCCUAAUUAGACUUUAACAAAUACUAAUCCUACUUUAAUUCCAACUAAUACUAAUUUUAAUUUAAUUCCAACUAUGAUCGAUCUUAAUUUAAUUCCAAGUAAUACUAAUCUUGCUUCAAUUGUAACUAAUACAAAAUCCCUUUAUUGAUGUAUAUCUUAGAGAUUCAUCAUCAUCAAAGUGUCAUCUAAUAUACUCACAACUUGAAUGAAAUGGCUAUCAAGCAUCAGUCUGCAAAGUCUUUUUUCACGAUCCUCUAAGAUAGGUAUCAGGAAUAAGGACCACAAUCAAGAAUACUGAUGUUGGAGCUGAGAGAGAAAAGAAGAAACUGAUAGGGGUUCAGCCAAAGACACAUUCAUACCUACCAUCAUCAAGAUAUCCACCCAGACAGAUUGAUCAAGUAAUUCCAUAUAGGAUGAUUUAAAUUUUCUCAGUGAGCAUAGAUAGAUAGGAUGAUCCAAUGUUGUAGUAUGUGGUUCAUAUCGAGUGAAAGACAUAUAUGGAGAAGAAGGGGCAAAUGCUGGAGUGGAACGACGACAAUUGCCAUUCAAGUUUUUAUUUUUAUUGUUAAGGACGAACGAUAGGUGGGGGGGUGCGAGGGGGCAACGCUUCCCACGGUACGGUUCAAGGGGUAUUUUUAAGAAUUUUUCAAUACCUGAGGGUUAGUAUAAAUACCCAAAUUUUUGUAACAUUAAUUUUUGGUGUAGUGAAAAGUCUUCAACCCUGCUCUAGUGGAUGUAGGCAUUCUACCGAACCACGUUAAAUCUAUGUGUUUUUUUUCUUUGUUUUCUCUAACUUCUUCAUUAGGAAUUGCUGCAGGAAUAACAACAUCCAACUUGAUUUAUUAAGCCUCACUUCCCAGAUCCAAGAAGCUAAUACUGCAUCAAUUAUAAUCAAGUUGGUCGCAUGAGUGGAAAAUAAAAUCAAUAAAACCUCAAUAAAAGCUAAGGGGAAGAUAGCAGUAUUAAUGCUCUUACAUUUUGGACUCGAACCAAGGAUAAACCCCACAGCCAUCAAACUGAAUACCCCAUGCAAACUAUUCUGCCAUAGCAAUUAUGACUCUUCUCAUAAGGCACAACAUUACAGCUCUGCACUCCACUGCCAGUUGUUUGAAGAAAGUCUCCGGUAAUAAAGCCAACUUGUGAGGCAAAUGACUAAUUAAAUUCACUAGUAGGUUUCUUGAUAUUAUCAGCAACUGGUCCUGAGUUUUGUGUGAGAGGUGUUCCUGACACUAAAAUGGGAUUAAAAGAGGAACACAGGGCAGAAGUGGAGAAGAAAUAUUCAAAUUACCUAUAGUGAAACAAAUGACUGCUUGACUUAAGUUAGGAAGUUUAUUGAUGCAAUCAUCAUUCAGCCCCAGUUUUUUUGCAUGAGAUCCCCUUUCACAUGAAAGAACAGAAUUCAACGCUGGAGAAGGAAAUAUUUCAGUAUCCAGACGCAAUAGAAUCGCUAGGAAGGUCUGAGGUUCCUCCAACUCUAAGCCACACUGCCUGUCUCAAACUCCUUUUGAAAAUUUGAGGUUGGAUCUAGCAAUUUAAAGUUCUACUCCUCAUGCACUGCCAUGUCUCUUGAUAAGUCCAGGUCCUCAGUCAAUUUGGGAUCCAUGGGCCAUUCAGAAGUGUGUUUCUCACCAACUUUGCACCAUUCUGACAAUAAGAAACCAGAUCUAGGCAGGACAAUUCCAAGUUUGACAAAUACUCCUCAAGUUUAGCCAGUACUAGAUAUGUGGUCUUUGUUGCCAAUUCAUAACAGAAAUUUGAAUAUUGGCUUUCAUAGGGAAUUCAAAACCUCAGCAACACUAGACUAAGUGUGACAUAAUGGAUGUCCAACUCCACGUCAAGAUCCAGAAUUCCAUUUUCAUCAACAUAAACAGUAAAGCAUCUAAGUGUGUCUUCUGAGCGAAAGGACAUUAGCACAAGACAUUCUAUAGUUUUUAGAUAUGGACAUGCAGUUUCCACGCAAUUUAAAGGAUUGGAAAGAGGAACAAUAUCUGUGCAACUAAAGAAGUACUGAGAAAAAAAAAAAUUAUUUAGAGGACACUCACGCUAGUCAAGGUAUCAUAUCGUUCACAAUCAAGUCCCACUAUUUUGCCAACAGGGAUGACAAUCUUACACAACCUGAAUUCCAAACUUUCAGUUAUCAGGUCAAAAACAAUGGGCACUAUAACUUAAACAAACAGUUUUUGCUUCUCCAAUGGCUGUUUCAGCAAGACUCUAGCAGUCUCAGAGCAUGAUUUGAAUUAUGGAAAAGACUAUGCCAGUAUCACCAUUCCACCAGGGUGAUAGAUGGCUUGUUUGGUGAUGGAAACAGUUCUGCGCUGAUAAUGAAGUGAUUGAUUAUGCUUUCUCUGCUCAUACCAGAAUGCUUAUUCUUCAGUCAUCUAGCAUUUUGAAACCCACAUUCCUGAUCAUGCUGAACAAAUAAGUCAAUGAAACUAUACCCACACCUUGCAUGCAUCUACAAAUCUCAACCAGAAAUCAUACCUUUCAUCUCUGUAGGAAUUGCAACAUCAGCUAUCCUAAUUCUUAAAGCACCACCAAUUCCAGAAAAUGAAGGACUAUGUAUAAUUUUCUACAAUAAUAUAUGGAGAAAAUGAAAAACGCACCCGACUUUGUUUAAUUUUGCCAUUUUCCUCUGAAGCUUUUGGAUCCUCAAACACACCACACACAUUCGUAGCAUAUUAUUCACUUCGGGAUCUUCCAACUUUGUUUGAUUUUGUUAUUUUUCCUUUAAAACUUUUGGAUUCUCGAGCACACAACACAAAUUCCUAGCAUAUUAUUAACUCAUUCUGCCUCAUUUCAAGUUGUGUUAUUACCAUUAACACACAAGUUCAUAUAUUACAGAGAGGAAUUUUUACAAAGGCUUUUGCUAAGCUAAGGGGAGGUCUUCAAGAGAGGGACAAUUUGAUAGCAAAUGCACUCCAGAAUAGUGUGGUUUUCCAACAAAAUACAACAAAUUAUUAGAAGUUUCCACAACAAAAAAAGGUUUUUUGUGGGCUACUGUUUUUCUUAAGUCCAUAGUAAGCACAUGUAUCUGCCUUAACCAAAAGGAGAGUUAGAAGCCUAAGAUGGAAGGACUAAACAAUGUUCAACACACAUGGGCCAACAAUGCAAUAGAUAUGAGUUGAGAAGGAAGCUUGGCAAGUUUGGUCCAAUUUGUAACAUAUAUACAGGCUGAGAGUGUGGCUUGGCACACCUAUGCAGUGUGUGGACUGAGUAAGGGGGGCUUGGCACACCUAUGCAAUGUGUGGACUGAGUAAGGGGGCUUGGAACACAUAGCUCUAGCACUUGAUAUUAGUGAAAAACCAAGCAAAGAAUUGCUCACACAAUAAGAGUGUGACACCUUGGCAUUGGGGAAGCCGAAGAAAGAUGUUCGUGCAUCAUAAGAAUGACACCUGGCAUUAGAUGUGGAACACAUGGUGGGCUACAAGACAUGUGCACAGACCCAACAAGUCUCUAAAGUGCUAGAACAUGUGGCAGGGUCUAAAGUCUACAAUGAGCAAGGUUAUAGGGCAUGAGCAAGAGCCAUGAAGAGCAACUAUUGUGACAUGUGGCAAUGUCAAAGGACAUGAGCUUAACUACCUACCCUGUGCAUAUGCCACAGGCUGGAAAACUAUUGAGGUUGUAGAUAGUUUGUGGAUUGAUUCCUAACUAGUUGCCUAUAAAGUGUGCAAAAACCAAGGUUAUAUAUAGUGUUAGUAGGCUGAUUCCUAGAUGUGGUCGUAACUAGAGGCCUGUAAAGCAUGCAAAACCAGGUCAUUCUUAGCAUAAACUAACAAAGAGGGUUGUGGAAGCCUUGCUUGGAGAAGGCCUUAGCCCAUUUUCUUGAGUUGUCAUGUUGCCUCGUUGUUGUGUGAAUUUUGUGGAGCUUGGACAAAGUUGGCUUAGAAGGCUUCCAAGUGUUGUACAUUGCAUUAGUUUUCCUUAUUAAUUUUCGUAUUGUUGUGUUGUCUUGUUGGUGUGUGAAUUUCGUGGGGUUUGAAAAGAGUUGGCUUAAAGGGGUUCUAAGUGUCACACAUCACAAAAAAAGGUUUCUCCUAAGUUUCAAUAUGUAGUUGUGGAGAAGUUGGGAAGCAAACAAGCAAGGCAAUUGCUAUGCGCAAGUUUCAAAAUGCUAGUUGUUGAGAAGUUGGUAAUGGGAAGGAUGGAUGUACCAUCACUCUAACUCUUUGCUACAACAUUCAAUUCAUUAUCAAUUCCUUCAAUAGUCUUCUCUAUAUGUUCUUGAUUUCUCAUUUCCCAAAAUUCGAGCACCACACUUAUAGGAUUUUGAAGAUUUUAUAGUGUGUCAAUUCACUUCCACACAUGCCAUUUUGUAUUGUGAUGGACAAGUUUCUCUUGUUCAAUGAUUGUCUCUAAACAAUUUAUAAUGAUUUCACUAUAUGGUAGUAGCUCUAGCUAGAUCAAAAAUGUGUAAAAACAAGAAACUACAAUAGUAUAGUGGAACCAAGUGUUGUCUAAUGGGAUGGUUAAGGUUUUAGACAUUUGAUAAAGAAAUGAUGUGAAUUGAUGAGAUGAUGAUGAUCAAAUGAUGAGGUAAAGAAAAAAUGUAGCUAAAAGUUGAUAAAAUUGAUUGACAUCGAAGAAAUAAAAUUUGGCCAAAAUUGAAAUAAAAUCUAGCAAACGAAAAAUUCUAGGAUUUGGAGUUCACUAGAGAUUAAUAACUAUAAUGAAUGGGUCAUAAUGAUCUGCUCUUCAUCAAAUUACGUUAUAGACCUUCAAAUCUUAUCUAAAUCAGCAUUUGAUUCAACUUUAGGUCUAGGUCAAAUUCAUCAUCAAAUUAGGCUUCUUAGUUGCAUUAGUGUUGUUAAAAGCAAAAGGCAAGGCAAUAGGGCUCAUUUUAGCCUAAGACGAAAAACAAGGCAAUAGUCUGACUAUAGUGAGGUGAUAAAAAAUAUACAUAUAUUUACCUAUUCUAUACUUAACCAAUAUAAGUGUUGUUUUCAACAAUCAACACUGUUAAUUUUUUAUCCCUCAUGGUGUUUUCUAAUAUUAACAAAAUAGUAAUAAUUAUUCAAAGUGUUAAAUAUUAUAUCCCACAUUAUAAGAAUAUCAUAUUGUUUAGAGAAAUUCAUCCUGUUUAAAAUGCAUAUUCUAAUUUUCUAAACAUCUAAAAAUAAAAUAAAAAUAAAAGACAAAAUAAGAUAAAUGAACAUCCUUAAGAAGUUUUGGACAUCAUUAUCAUAAUCAUCAUUGAAAUUAAAAUUAUCAUCACUUCCAUCAAGACUAGAUUGAUAGCCCUCUAUCUCAAUAUCACUAUGAUUGAUGAUAUAAUAUUUCAUCUUAUACUUUGUUUAAUAUAAUAUUAGAUUGGAUUAAAUUACAAUCUAAAUAUGUUUAACCUUAACCCAUGGUCAAAGGAGACCGCCUCUAUGCCUUGCAUCAGAUCCCAAAGCGAUCACCUAGGCAUCGGACUUUUGAAGUCAACUUGCAUGGGUCUUCAAGAGGGGACUUAUAUAUGCAACGCUUGUCCUGGUGGCCUAGGCAACCUUGGAGAUCACCUUUAAUAACAUCGAGUUGCAUUGAUCAAUCUUCACAAUUAGCAUAAUUCAUCUUAAAUCCUCUUCCAAUGAAUCUUAUAAUGAAACUAUAGAAUCUCACCAAAUAUAACAUUAAGCAUUCGAUGAAUCGACCAAGGCUUCACUAUAUUCCCUAUUUACAAUAAGUAAAAGAAAAUAUUAUUUUAAAUCAUUAUUCAACCAAUUCGACCAAAAAUACCUUCAACUUUUAGCUUCAAAUGACUAAUUCACCACAGAUGUUGACUUUAGAUCCUUCUUCCUCCAAGAAAAAUGAAAAUUAGUCACUUAUGUUUGGAGAGUUGCUUUCACAAAGCAUGUUUGGCUCUCAAGAAAAUAAAAGAAAAUUUGUAUUUUUCCAAAUGAAAAUUACAAUGAUCUCUCCUAUAAAAAAAAUGGCCAAAAGUUCCUAAAUGAGAAUUUUCAACUCCUAUUUAUAGGCAAAUUACAAUGAUAGACAGUUGUCAAUAUCUUAAAGCCUUCCAGAAUCAUUUAAUUUUGCCACCUUAGCAUUGGAAGAAUCUCUCAAGUUCAAAACUGAGGAAUUAAUGCCUGGUUGUAGCCUUCUCACAUGGGCAUUCAAAGAUGCAUGGAGAAUUUCAGCUCAGAGAUGCGGAGAAUUGAUGGAACUGGCAUGGGUACUCUUAACAUACGCAUAGCUACGCAAAGGAGGCAUGAAAUUGCAGCUUCGUUGCAUCAGCCUGGUGGGGCUUGAAGGGGUAUGCAACACUUUGCAUCAGUUUUCAAAAAAUGCAUAAAAUUGCAACUGAAUUUCAGCUCUGUGAAUGUUUUGCAUAGGUGGGCAAGCAGGGCACCAAUGCUGCCAUUUUUCAUGCUUGCUGUGUCUCUUUGCACAGGUAUUUGAGCAGCUCGCAUGAGCAUUCAAAGCUUACCACUCCACCUCCAAAUGCACUGCAACAAAGCCUAAAACAGGCUCUUCUUCCUUUGAUCAUGCCAAGCACCUCAUAUAAGCUUCCAACUACAAGAUUUUCAUCCUCAAACAACUUUAUAUGCAUGUAAUUUCCAAUCCAAAUUGAAUUCCCUAUCUCCUUCCAAAAAUCAAUCUUUAAAUUCUCUCCAAAACCCUUAAACUCAUCAUCCCCUGCCAUAAUCACCCUUAGGACUCUCCAAAUACCUCCCAAAGGCAUCACAAACGUCCAUGGAAUAAAAUUCAAGCUUGAAUGCCAUUUCAAGCAUAAAUCAGGCUUUACACAAGCUGUCCAUAAGCAUAGCAGCCUUAAUCAUCAUCUUUCUUCUUCCAAAUGCAGCUUCGAAUGGGAAUUCUAAGGUAACAUGAGUCUCCUUGAAUAGCCAUGAGAAAAUGGCUCAUUAAUUCCCCAAAACAUGCAGCUAUGGUGUCAUUAGAUUGGCUAUUUGAGCCAAACAUCUCACUGUCGCAUAAGUGUUUGAAGUUAGCAAAGUAUUGGGCUCUUGCAUAUUCUGAUAAGUUCGGAAUGGCCAUGCGAAAAUAGCAUUGAUAUUCACAUAGGCAUUCAAAGAAAGGCAGAGUGGUCAAUUUCACCUUCAUCCUUCCUUUGCAUAGAUAUACAAAUUCAACUUUGUCUUCCUCAAAUACACUUUUAAAUCCCCAUUCCACAAUGCCAAGACCAUUCAAAUGUUGUCACCACUUGAAUUGGCAUCCAAUUAUACUAUUUGCAACUUCACAAACAUCUUCUAUCCUGUCAUCCAUCCAUAGUCUGAAAUUGCAAUAAACAUAGCUACAUUGAUCUUCAAAACAUUUACAAGCUGUCAUUGCCAUUCAUGUAUCAUCAUUUCUCUCCCUUCCCUCAAGGCAUUCCACCACAAGAUAGCUCCUAACAUUUCUCCCAGAUUUUCACAUUGAAAGCUCAUCCAUUCACCAUCUUCCACAUCCUUAUUCCUCACCAACUUCACUCCUAUUCUUCACAAGUAUGUUCAUCUCCCUUCUUUGCACCAGUUGGCAUCAAUUGCACCUUAAAACCAACUCCACAACUCAAAAGAAUUGUUAGCAAUUAUUGUAAGUGUGCAAACAUGUUAAUUGAGUGUUUAAGAAAUGAUCACCACCCAAAGGUAUGAAAUAUACAUCAAUUACCACCAACAUUAUGCACUUUUCCAGUAGUAAUCAUUCAAAUACAUGCUUCUACAUCUUCUACACCUUUAUUUUACUCAGGUUGGAAACACUAUUGUUCAUUUUGAAUUAACAAGCUGUUUACCUAGUAACCUAAGUGGAAUUCAAAUGCAGAAGAGUGCUGAAGAAACUGACCACAGAGAAAGACAUACAAAAACCUCAAAGGAGCUACAGGUUCUAUUAGAAUGCAUUUUUAAUAUUCCUGCUUCUCCAUAACAGGGAGAAAAAGGCAGUGUAGAAAUACAGAAACAGAUAAAGUUUAAAAGGGAAGACUAGAAUCUCAUUUCCUGAUAUUUUUAGAACAUAAUAAAAUGACUCAACCAUCAAAAUGUCACCUAUUUGAGAAAACUUCUCUCUUUGUUGAUCCAGCUGUGAGGAAAACAUAAGCAAAUAAAACACCUACAUCCCAUCUAAUCACAAACAUGAUAUAAUAAAUCUAAAAUACUAGGCAACAUCCAAAAUCACAAAUUCAUUUAAGGUUUUAGGUGACAUCCAAAAUCACAAGUUCAUUAAGGUUUUAGGCAGCAUCCAAAAUCACAAGGAACAAAGAACAUACCAUGAUUUUUCUCUGAAACUUCCAAAAAUAAUUAUAGGCAUCAAAUUUUGGCCCAAUCCUAUAAGUAAAAUUCUUAUAAAAUCAGAAAACAAUACAUGGUCAAUAAUAAACACAAUUGAUCUUCCAGCCUGACUGAACUAUUUGUAGGAAACUGCUUACCUCAAGAAGUAUCUUUGCUUUCUUCUACAAUUUGGCACCCAUUUCCUCUUUCUCAGGCUUCCUUAAAGCGAAGGUUGAUUCCCUUUACUCUCUUCUGAUGACGAAUUG
rnacentral:lncRNA from 1 species